rnacentral:RNase_P_RNA from 1 species
GCAGUUGGUUGUUCUGUCGCUGUUUCAAUUUAUUUUGGAAGGGAGGAAAGUCCGGACAACAUAGAGCAAUACACUUUCUAACGGAAAGAUGCUCGUGAGGGCAUAGUACGGAAGAAGAAAAUAACCGCCAUUUUUGGUAAGGGUGAGAAGGUGAGGUAAGAGCUCACCGGUGGAGUAGGUGACUACUUCAGCCGUUCCGCUUGUAUGUUGCAAUCUCAUGUAUAUCGGCAAUUGAGGGUUGCUCGCCCAAUGCCGAGGGGUUGAGAGCGUAGAUAAAUGACAGAAACUUAACAGGUUUAAGUACAGAAUCCGGCUUAUAGACCAACUGCAUUU